rnacentral:tRNA from 1 species
GGACUGUGGUUCAGUGGUAGAGUACUUGCCUAGCAGUGUGAGGAGCUGGGUUCAAUCCCCAGCACCA